UGGGGAAUUUUCCACAAUGGGCGAAAGCCUGAUGGAGCAACGCCGCGUGCAGGAUGAAUGCCUUCGGGUUGUAAACUGCUUUUAUUAGUGACGAUUAUGACGGUAACUAAUGAAUAAGGACCUGCUAACUACGUUCCAGCAGCCGCGGUCAUACGUAGGGUCCAAGCGUUAUCCGGAAUUACUGGGCGUAAAGAGUUGCGUAGGUGGCAUAGUAAGUAGAUAGUGGAAGCGUGUGGCUCAACCAUACAUCCAUUAUCUAAACUGCUAAGCUAGAAGGCGAGAGAGGUAGAUGGAAUUCCUGAUGUAGGGGUAAUAUCCGUAGAUAUCAGGAGGAACACCGAUGGCGUAAGCAGUCUACUGGCUCGUUCUUGACACUAAGGCACGAAAGCGUGGGGAGCAAAC
rnacentral:rRNA from 1 species